rnacentral:rRNA from 1 species
UUGACCUCGGAUUAGGUAGGAAUACCCGCUGAACUU